GAUGAACGCUGGCGGCGUGCCUAAUACAUGCAAGUCGAGCGAACAGACGAGGAGCUCGCUCCUCUGACGUUAGCGGCGGACGGGUGAGUAACACGUGGAUAACCUACCUAUAAGACUGGGAUAACUUCGGGAAACCGGAGCUAAUACCGGAUAAUAUAUUGAACCGCAUGGUUCAAUAGUGAAAGACGGUUUUGCUGUCACUUAUAGAUGGAUCCGCGCCGCAUUAGCUAGUUGGUAAGGUAACGGCUUACCAAGGCAACGAUGCGUAGCCGACCUGAGAGGGGGAUCGGCCACACUGGAACUGAGACACGGUCCAGACUCCUACGGGAGGCAGCAGUAGGGAAGCUUCCGCAAUGGGCGAAAGCCUGACGGAGCAACGCCGCGUGAGUGAUGAAGGUCUUCGGAUCGUAAAACUCUGUUAUUAGGGAAGAACAAAUGUGUAAGUAACUAUGCACGUCUUGACGGUACCUAAUCAGAAAGCCACGGCUAACUACGUG
rnacentral:rRNA from 1 species